rnacentral:SRP_RNA from 1 species
GCUGGGCGUGGUGGCGUGUGCCUGUAAUCCCAGCUACUUGGGAGGCUGAGGCAGGAGAAUUGCUUGAACCCAGGAGGCAGAGUUGCAGUGAGCCAAGAUCAUGACAUUGCAUGCCAGCCUGGGUGACAGAGCAAGAUUCUGUCUCAA